UACGGGGGGAGCAAGCGUUGUUCGGAUUUACUGGGCGUAAAGGGCGCGUAGGCGGCCAGCACAAGUCAGUUGUGAAAUCUCCGGGCUUAACUCGGAAAGGUCAACUGAUACUGUGCGGCUAGAGUGCAGGAAGGGGCAACUGGAAUUCUCGGUGUAGCGGUGAAAUGCGUAGAUAUCGAGAGGAACACCUGCGGCGAAGGCGGGUUGCUGGGCUGACACUGACGCUGAUGCGCGAAAGCCAGGGGAGCG
rnacentral:rRNA from 1 species